rnacentral:rRNA from 7 species
GGGAAUCUACCUUGAACUACGGGAUAGCUCCGGGAAACUGGAAUUAAUACCGUAUGUGCCCUGAGGGGGAAAGGUUUACCGGUUCAGGAUGAGCCCGCGUCCGAUUAGCUAGUUGGUGGGGUAAAGGCCUACCAAGGCGACGAUCGGUAGCUGGUCUAAGAGGAUGAUCAGCCACAUUGGGACUGAGACACGGCCCAAACUCCUACGGGAGGCAGCAGUGGGGAAUAUUGGACAAUGGGCGCAAGCCUGAUCCAGCCAUGCCGCGUGAGUGAUGAAGGUCUUAGGAUUGUAAAGCUCUUUCACCGGGGACGAUAAUGACGGUACCCGGAGAAGAAGCCCCGGCUAACUUCGUGCCAGCAGCCGCGGUAAUACGAAGGGGGCUAGCGUUGUUCGGAAUUACUGGGCGUAAAGCGCACGUAGGCGGAUAUUUAAGUCAGGGGUGAAAUCCCGGGGCUCAACCCCGGAACGGCCUUUGAUACUGGGUAUCUUGAGUGUGGUAGAGGUGAGUGGAAUUGCGAGU